rnacentral:misc_RNA from 1 species
GAAAUGCGAUAAGUAGUGUGAAUUGCAGAAUUCAGUGAAUCAUCGAAUCUUUGAACGCACAUUGCGCCCCUCGGUAUUCCGUGGGGCAUGCCUGUUCGAGCGUCAUCUACACCCUCAAGCUCUGCUUGGUGUUGGGCGUCCGUCCCGCCUCCGCGCGCGGACUCGCCCCAAAUGCAUUGGCAGCGGUUCCUUGCCCCCCUCUUUGCGCAGCACAUUGCCAUUCGAGGCGGCGGCGGCCCGCGUCCAACAAGCUCAACCCCCCCGUCUUUGACCUCGGAUCAGGUAGGGAUACCCGCUGAACUUAAGC